rnacentral:tRNA from 1 species
GCAGCGAUGGGAUAAUGGCAUUCUACGACCUUCCCAAGGUCGUGACCCGGGUUCGAUUCCCGGUCGCUGCA